CAGCCGCCACGGUAAUACGAAGGGUGCAAGCGCUAAUCGGAAUUACUGGGCGUAAAGCGUGCGUAGGCGGUGAGUUAAGUCUGCUGUGAAAUCCCCGGGCUCAACCUGGGAAUGGCAGUGGAUACUGGCUCGCUAGAGUGUGUCAGAGGAUGGUGGAAUUCCCGGUGUAGCGGUGAAAUGCGUAGAGAUCGGGAGGAACAUCAGUGGCGAAGGCGGCUUACUGGCUCAUACUGGACGCUGAGGUGCGAAAGCGUGGGGAGCAAACAGGAUUAGAUACCCGCGUAGUCCCUGUCUCUUAUAC
rnacentral:rRNA from 1 species